rnacentral:rRNA from 1 species
GACGAACCGUGCGAACGUUGUUCGGAAUCACUGGGCUUAAAGGGCGCGUAGGCGGCACAGCAAGUCGGGAGUGAAAGCCCGGGGCUCAACCCCGGAAUGGCUUUCGAAACUGCUGAGCUAGAGUACAGAAGGGGCAACCGGAAUUCCCAGUGUAGCGGUGAAAUGCGUAGAUAUUGGGAAGAACACCUGAGGCGAAGGCGGGUUGCUGGGCUGAUACUGACGCUGAGGCGCGAAGGCCAGGGGAGCAAACGGG